CAUUAAAAAAUAAAUCAUAUUUUUUCAACUUCAGCAGAAUAUUGACAAAGUUUUGUGCACAUUUGUAAUGAAAAUGCAGCCAAUAACAAAAAUAUAGCAAGGUUAUAUACGACCAAAUUGUAAACUAUUAUUGCAGAUUAAAUACUAAAUUAAACAAACAUUCUGUUGAACAAAACAUUUUCACACUGAAAGUAUAACACUAUUUAAAGUUUGAGCAAAUCAUGAAAUAAUCAUGGGACUUUUCAAAACUUUCUAAACUUAAGUUUAAGUUAAGUUUCUAUUUAAACAGGUCUGGAGAUUCAAAGAUACCAAUUAUGUGAAAAUUCUGAAUUAGCGAAAUCCAAAAAAGCAAUUGUUGCAGAUGCAUAAUCAUGUGCGAUAUAAUGUCUGAUGACACUUUCACCAGUAUUGCAACAUCUCAGGCAGUUGCAGCUCUCUGCACUCAUCAAGCAUAUUUUUACUCAGAUAUAAUUUUACCAAGAGUUCAUGCAUGUGACAAGUCAUGUUGACAGUUUUGAAAGUGGAUAAAACUCCAAAGCUGCCAAAGGUCACAUAUUGUUGCUUAGUGAAUAUGUUGAGCUGAAUGAAGAAGACAGAGUAGAUGUUCUCAAGAAAAAUACUUUUGCUUCCUGCUUCCUUGUGAAGAAACCAUUCAGGUUUGACAACAGAGAUCCACCCAGGAUGGAUUCCUCCCUGCUGAGUCUCAGAGUCUUUAACCACAACGCAUUCUCAAACGCUUAAAACGGGGAAAACACAGAGCACACUUUUUCCAGGUUGCCAUGCUGCUUAGAUUAUAUUUCUCUACGUGUUAGAAAGGUGAAACAAAAACUGGACUGGGCAGAAUGGGAGGCUCAACCUGGUGACAAGUGGUAGAGCUUGUUUGUCUCUCACGCCUUCUUCAACAAUAAACGCCUUCACCGAAGGCAACUCAACAGUCUGUAAACAUCUUCCACCUCAUUUAUUCUCCUUUUAUUAGUCUCCAUGUGAUGUAUGUGAACGCACACACUGUUUUCUUUAUAUUGCUGAAAGUACCUGUAAGUCACAGGACAGUAAUAAUGGCUUGGGUUGCACAAUUAUCACCUCAUGAAGAAGAAAAAAAAAGGCAAAAACA